GACGAACCGUGCAAACGUUGUUCGGAAUCACUGGGCUUAAAGGGCGCGUAGGCGGGCCAGCCAGUCUGUGGUGAAAGCCUCCAGCUUAACUGGAGAAGUGCCGUGGAUACUGCUGGCCUCGAGGAGGAUAGGGGCAUCUGGAACGGUCGGUGGAGCGGUGAAAUGCGUUGAUAUCGACCGGAACUCCGGUGGCGAAGGCGAGGUGCUGGGUCCUUUCUGACGCUGAGGCGCGAAAGCGUGGGGAGCAAACGGG
rnacentral:rRNA from 1 species